rnacentral:misc_RNA from 1 species
UACGUAGGUGGCAAGCGUUGUCCGGAAUUAUUGGGCUUAAAGCGCGCGCAGGCGGCCUGUUAAGUCAGAUGUGAAAGCCCCCGGCUCAACCGGGGAGGGCCAUUGGAAACUGGGAGGCUUGAGUAUAGGAGAGAAAAGUGGAAUUCGACGUGUAGCGGUGAAAUGCGUAGAGAUGUGGAGGAACACCAGUGGCGAAGGCGACUCAUUGGCCGAUAACUGACGCUGAUGCGCGAAAGCGUGGGGAGCAAACAGG